rnacentral:rRNA from 1 species
GAUGAACGCUGGCGGCGUGCCUAAUACAUGCAAGUCGAGCGAACGGACGAGAAGCUUGCUUUUCUGAUGUUAGCGGCGGACGGGUGAGUAACACGUGGAUAACCUACCUAUAAGACUGGGAUAACUUCGGGAAACCGGAGCUAAUACCGGAUAAUAUUUUGAACCGCAUGGUUCAUAAGUGAAAGACGGUCUUGCUGUCACUUAUAGAUGGAUCCGCGCUGCAUUAGCUAGUUGGUAAGGUAACGGCUUACCAAGGCAACGAUGCAUAGCCGACCUGAGAGGGUGAUCGGCCACACUGGAACUGAGACACGGUCCAGACUCCUACGGGAGGCAGCAGUAGGGAAUCUUCCGCAAUGGGCGAAAGCCUGACGGAGCAACGCCGCGUGAGUGAUGAAGGUCUUCGGAUCGUAAAACUCUGUUAUUAGGGAAGAACAUAUGUGUAAGUAACUGUGCACAUCUUGACGAUACCUAAUCAGAAAGCCACGGCUAACUACGUG